GCCUCCUUAGCUCAGUUGGUAGAGCGACCGCCUUGUAAGCGGUAGGUCGUCGGUUCGAAUCCGACAGGUGGCU
rnacentral:tRNA from 1 species